GUGGGGAAUCUUGCGCAAUGGGCGAAAGCCUGACGCAGCCAUGCCGCGUGAAUGAUGAAGGUCUUAGGAUUGUAAAAUUCUUUCACCGGGGACGAUAAUGACGGUACCCGGAGAAGAAGCUCCGGCUAACUUCGUGCCAGCAGCCGCGGUAAUACGAAGGGGGCUAGCGUUGCUCGGAAUUACUGGGCGUAAAGGGCGCGUAGGCGGACAGCUUAGUCAGAGGUGAAAGCCCAGGGCUCAACCUUGGAAUUGCCUUUGAUACUGGCUGUCUUGAGUAUGAGAGAGGUGUGUGGAACUCCGAGUGUAGAGGUGAAAUUCGUAGAUAUUCGGAAGAACACCAGUGGCGAAGGCGACACACUGGCUCAUUACUGACGCUGAGGCGCGAAAGCGUGGGGAGCAAACAGGAUUAGAUACCCUGGUAGUCC
rnacentral:rRNA from 1 species